rnacentral:rRNA from 2 species
UCUACGGGAGGCAGCAGUAGGGAAUCUUCCACAAUGGACGAAAGUCUGAUGGAGCAAUGCCGCGUGAGUGAAGAAGGUUUUCGGAUCGUAAAACUCUGUUGUUGAAGAAGAACAUAUGUGAGAGUAACUGUUCACGUACUGACGGUAUUCAACCAGAAAGCCACGGCUAACUACGUGCCAGCAGCCGCGGUAAUA